AGCGCCAUCAUCUAAGGGUUAGGAUACAAGAUUUUCAUUCUUGGCAUACAGGUUCGAAUCCCGUUGGCGUUA
rnacentral:tRNA from 1 species